ensembl:lncRNA
CGCAAACACCCACCCACUGGGUACUCGAUAUAUAGAUUGUUAUUUGCUUAACUUUUAGAGAAAACUUUUCGAAGACACAAACUUUGUUUUAGAGUGUAAAAUAAUGAUGUUUUAUUUAUGAUCAAGCUGUAGUAUAUUAAGUGUUAACAGUACCAUAUGUAUGGUAGCUCUUCCAUUAAACUGGGCCAGUCUUUUACUGCUGCCUCAACAAAAGACCUACAAAUGUAUUCCUGACUCCAAAAAGAGGGAUGUAUGUGCUCAUGGGUGUGUGUGUGUGUGUUUGUGUGUAUAUGUGUGUGUGUGUGUGUGUGUUUGCAUGUGUUUGUGUGUGUGGUUGUGUGUGUGUGUGUCUGUGUUUGUCUGUGUGUGUGUGUGUCUAUGUGUGUUGGUGUGUCAGUGUGUGUGGUUGCGUGUGCGUGUGUUAAAAUAGAGCCUAUCUCGGUUGGCAGCAGAGAUGCAAAAGCAGCUCCUUCCCCCUGGAACUUGUAAACCAGGCCAUGGUGUUGACGUCACAUCCCUCUCCUCCCUCUCUCUUUGUAGCUCUCUUUUAUGUCUCUCCUUUAAUCACUCCAUCUUCUAUCCAUUGCUCAAGCUGUAUCAAAGCUUCAGUUUCUUACAACUCGGUCUCAGCACAGUGUCACUUAUACCUUAACUGAAGUUUCCGGUAACAAAAGACAAAACAUUGACUUGGCAGAGACGCCCAAAGGUGUUGAGCUUCUUGAACACAAAAAAAUAGCAAUUUCUUCUAAAUUAUUCUUCAAACAAUAAAAAAAUAUCAGCAUCGUACAAAUCAUAGAAUAGUUUCUCUUAAGUUGGCCAAUCAUUUGAGUACAUAACAUGGGCGGUGUGGGAACGUACGGUCAUGGUGGAGAGCUUAACCAUUGGAGUGAAGCAGCCAUCUUCAUCUAUAUUUAUUCAACUAUUAUAGCUGCUUAUAAUAACUGACACCCUAUCUGCACGGUCUUAUGUGCGUGUUUAACUAAAUUUGCAAUUUGCACGUAUGUGCAAGAGUGCAGACGUGUGCAUGUGUGUGAGUGCUCGUGUGUGUGUGUUUGUCCCGGGCGUGCAUUCUGCACAUUGUCCGCAUGUAUACUGAGCUCAUUAAUGCAGCCUGAUGACAAUGAAGGCAGCCCGGGCUGGCGGCUGGCCAUUCUAAUCACGCCUGUUUGCCCGCCAUCUCCGCCAUCACCUUCCACUACAUGCGUCUCCUCCUCCCACUCACCACCGCAAGGACCCCACAAGGCUGUCCGCGGACAGAGCCUGCUGGGAAAGAGAGAGGUGGCAUGAUGAGGGUGUUCCGAGGAGGGCGGAGGGAUUUGGGUUCAGGCUUCAUGUUUGUCCUCCCCCUCCUGCAUUCAGGGCUCUGUUUUGCAUGACAUUUGACGGACGAGACGCUAAUCCUAACUGUCUCGCCGUGUGUGCUGAGAUUAACAGGGAAGAUGCUCAGAAUGAUCACCAAUGGCUGGAUUAUAGUCCUGAUAGAGCACCCCUUUGUUCCAACAUAUAAACCACUCUCCUUCCCUCUCUCUCUCUCUCUCUCUCUCUCUCUCUCUCUCUCUCUCUCUCUCUCUCUCUCU